GCCUGUGUGGUGUAGUGGUCUGAGCACUGGACUAGGAUUCCAGGAGACCAGGGUUCAAAUCCCCAUUCAUCCA